rnacentral:sRNA from 1 species
GAUGCGAGGGUGAUCUGGCUGCGACGUCUGUCACCCCGUGGGUCACCAGGGUUGAUUCGGUUGAUCUGGCUGGUGAGGGAGAUGUCUCCUUCCCUCUCCACUC